rnacentral:rRNA from 1 species
UACGGAGGGUGCAAGCGUUAUCCGGAUUCACUGGGUUAAAAGGGUGCGUAGGCGGAUUGGUAAGUCCGUGGUGAAAUCUCUAAGCUUAACUUGGAAACUGCCAUGGAUACUAUUAGUCUUGAAUAUUGUGGAGGUUAGCGGAAUAUGUCAUGUAGCGGUGAAAUGCAUAGAUAUGACAUAGAACACCAAUUGCGAAGGCAGCUGGCUACACAAAUAUUGACGCUGAUGCACGAAAGCGUGGGGAUCAAACAGG